ensembl:antisense
GCUCUUUAUUCUCUGAACUGCAGCGAUAGACAGGGCUAAGGGAAAGGGCAUUCGAAACCAUGCCUUGCCACAAAAGCUGCUAAGUGUCUGGCUUCUCCUCCACCUAAAAUAUCCACAGAGCGCCCGUCUCCCUUGAACUCAGGCCCUCGGUACUGCUGCUCCCUAUGUUUUCCUGUCGACUGCAUUCCUGGUUUCUCACGAACAUACCCUUGAAGAACGUAAACUGGAAAUCUGAAGAAGUAAGUGGUGAGAAAGACAGAGCAACUGGCCACAGACUAAGCCACGAUAUGUCAUGCACAUCAGCUCUGCUCUUCGGAGGAAUGAUCAUCUGCCCACUGUGGAUUAACCAGCUAAGCCACAAAAGCUGAGCAGAAGAGCACCCACCACACAGAGAGCGGUACAUAAUGUUAGUUUUAUAAGUGAUGUUGUGCAUAAAACCAGUUCAUAUGUAUUCUUGUGAAACCCGGCUCUGAUACAUUAAACAAAAUGAAGUUCAAUAUAACACUAGAUGAAUACAUUGCUGCACAGAUAUAGAGUGAGGAGUUAAAAGUAAUGUGUCUAUUUCAGACAGGCCCUCCAGCAAUGAGCUGAGGCAGAGUCACUGCAGAGCCUGCCGACAGACUGUUUAGUCACCGUUUCUGAAUGAGCAUGUAGUUAUGAGAGUGUACAUGUAAGCCUCAGGUGACGGUGAUACUGAUCAGGGACCAGUCUGACACUUCUGAAGAGAAAGUGAUGCUAAGGAAGGGUUAAGAAAAAGCGAAAGAGUUAAAAGUACGUCGAGUCUCUGAAUUCUCACCGCAUCUGUAAUUUUGACAUUUAUCACUGGUAAUACAGCCCUUCUUUUGCACCUCCUAUUUCACCAAGUCUUUUUCUUCUGAAGAGUCAUUUCCUACAGCUUCCCACUAAGGUGAUUCCAUCUACUAUGGAAGUAUACGUAGGAAUUGCAAUUGUAGAAAUGAGAUAGAUCUGGAUAAUUAAUAUUUUCUAAAGCCAAUAUCACAAAAAGCACUAAUAUUGAGUUGUAUUUAAGAUGAACAGGAAUGAGCACACAGAAAUGGGAAAAUUCAAGAUUCUGGAGAUUCUAUCUAUCUUCAAACCAUAUUACUAGAUUUUCUUAUCACACAUCACAAAACAUUCUAAGUGAAAAACUUUUAGUAUCCCUUUCUACACUGAAGAAACUGAUAGGAUACUAUUGAUAUUGUAUUUAGCGAUCACCCCGUGUGUCUUCAAAGGAGGGUAAAAUAUGUGUUUAUCCAUACGUAACUAUUAAAAUGAAGACUGAAAUCCCUCCACAUAAAAAGGCAGGAGCUGGGCCUGCACUGCUCUUCUAAUGUUUCUUUUUCUUCUUGGAGAAAAGCACAGUAUGACCAUUUCAUAUUCCAUGGUAUGCAUAAGAAAAUCAUCUGUUAACAUGUAACAAAGAAAUGGUAACUUAGGGAAACUAUGGCUUUCAGUCCUGUAAAUAGUUUCUCUCAAAGACAAAAUAAAUGAAAUUGCUGGGCAUAGGACAGAAGAUGGCAAUUUCUAGGUCAGACUGAGCUAUAGCAUAGGACUAAAACAAACCAACCAACCAAACAAACAAACAACCAAACACCAUCUACCAAACAGAAACACAAAACAAAACAAAACAAAACAAAAAAAAAGC